rnacentral:rRNA from 1 species
CGUAGGACGGAACCGUCGUCCCUUACCGAGGGAAGGGGGAACGAACUAGUUAGGAAACGAACGUGCUAAUACCGCAUGACGCAUUGGUGUCGCAUGGCUUUUACUGAUGUCAAAGAUUUAUCGCUGGAAGAUGGCCUCGCGUCUGAUUAGCUAGUUGGUGAGGUAACGGCCCACCAAGGCGACGAUCAGUAGCCGGACUGAGAGGUUGGCCCGGCCACAUUGGGACUGAGAUACGGCCCAGACUCCUACGGGAGGCAGCAG